rnacentral:rRNA from 1 species
GAUGAACGCUGGCGGCGUGCCUAAUACAUGCAAGUCGAGCGAACGGACGAGAAGCUUGCUUUUCUGAUGUUAGCGGCGGACGGGUGAGUAACACGUGGAUAACCUACCUAUAAGACUGGGAUAACUUCGGGAAACCGGAGCUAAUACCGGAUAAUAUUUUGAACCGCAUGGUUCAAAAGUGAAAGACGGUCUUGCUGUCACUUAUAGAUGGAUCCGCGCUGCAUUAGCUAGUUGGUAAGGUAACGGCUUACCAAGGCAACGAUGCAUAGCCGACCUGAGAGGGUGAUCGGCCACCCUGGAGCUGAGACGCGGUCCAGACUCCUACGGGAGGCAGCAGUAGGGAAUCUUACGCAAUGGGCGAAAGCCUGACGGAGCAACGCCGCGUGAGUGAUGAAGGUCUUCGGAUCGUAAAACUCUGUUAUUAGGGAAGAACAUAUGUGUAAGUAACUGUGCACAUCUUGACGGUACCUAAUCAGAAAGCCACGGCUAACUACGUG